UAUAUUACCCAGGUUAGCACAUAACAGACCUUAGACCCAUCACCUUCUGCCAUUGGCUUGACUUCAUGUGGAAAAUACACUUACAUUUCCUUGGUUUCAUGUUUUGUCUAAUUUGAAAAAAACCCAGAAUUCACAAGUUGGAGGUAAUCAAAAUCAGUUAUAUUUUGGAGUUCCAUUCCUUAUGUAUUAGUUAUCUAUUUCUAUAUUAUAAACUAAUCAAAAAUUUAGUGGCUUAGAAUAGCAAAAUAUAUUAUCUCCUAGUUUCUUAAAUGGUCUUCAGUGUGGGUGAGGUUUAACACUGGCACACUCACACACUGAUGUCAAGGUGUUGGCCAGGGUUGUGAUUAUCCAAAAGCUCUCACAGGGAAGGAUCUGCCUCUGAACUCACCCAUCUGGUUGCUGGCUGGAUUCACUCCUGCAGGAGACCACUCUCUAUUGCUUGCCAGGAAACAUACCGCAAGGACAGCAAGGAAACCCUCACCACCAGAUGUUGGCCUCAAGUGUGACUUCCCAGUCUCCAAGACUCAGAGCCAAGACAGUUCUCAAUGUGCACAAAACAGAUGAAGGCAUGGACUGUCUUGGAAAUCUACCUACCAACUUAGUCAACAAGUGCAUUCCAAACCCUGUAAAACCAAAACAAACAUGAGAAACAGCUUGGUGCUGACGCUAAGAGAGCCAUGGCUAUCCCUAACCCCCAAUUUCUAGUUCUUACAUUCUGCGAGUUAGUCUCUGUUUUUGUGCUUGAACUCACAAUAAAGUUCAACUUAU